GACGAACGCUGGCGGCGUGCUUAACACAUGCAAGUCGAACGGAAAGGCCCUGCUUUUGUGGGGUGCUCGAGUGGCGAACGGGUGAGUAACACGUGAGUAACCUGCCCUUGACUUUGGGAUAACUUCAGGAAACUGGGGCUAAUACCGGAUAGGAGCUCCUGCUGCAUGGUGGGGGUUGGAAAGUUUCGGCGGUUGGGGAUGGACUCGCGGCUUAUCAGCUUGUUGGUGGGGUAGUGGCUUACCAAGGCUUUGACGGGUAGCCGGCCUGAGAGGGUGACCGGCCACAUUGGGACUGAGAUACGGCCCAGACUCCUACGGGAGGCAGCAGUGGGGAAUAUUGCACAAUGGGCGGAAGCCUGAUGCAGCAACGCCGCGUGCGGGAUGACGGCCUUCGGGUUGUAAACCGCUUUCGCCUGUGACGAAGCGUGAGUGACGGUAAUGGGUAAAGAAGCACCGGCUAACUACGUGCCAGCAGCCGCGGUGAUACGUAGGGUGCGAGCGUUGUCCGGAUUUAUUGGGCGUAAAGGGCUCGUAGGUGGUUGAUCGCGUCGGAAGUGUAAUCUUGGGGCUUAACCCUGAGCGUGCUUUCGAUACGGGUUGACUUGAGGAAGGUAGGGGAGAAUGGAAUUCCUGGUGGAGCGGUGGAAUGCGCAGAUAUCAGGAGGAACACCAGUGGCGAAGGCGGUUCUCUGGGCCUUUCCUGACGCUGAGGAGCGAAAGCGUGGGGAGCGAACAGGCUUAGAUACCCUGGUAGUCCACGCUGUAAACGGUGGGUACUAGGUGUGGGGUCCAUUCCACGGGUUCCGUGCCGUAGCUAGCGCUUUAAGUACCCCGCCUGGGGAGUACGGCCGCAAGGCUAAAACUCAAAGGAAUUGACGGGGCCCCGCACAAGCGGCGGAGCACGCGGAUUAAUUCGAUGCAACGCGUAGAACCUUACCUGGGUUUGACAUGGAUCGGGAGUGCUCAGAGAUGGGUGUGCCUCUUUUGGGGUCGGUUCACAGGUGGUGCAUGGCUGUCGUCAGCUCGUGUCGUGAGAUGUUGGGUUAAGUCCCGCAACGAGCGCAACCCUUGUUCACUGUUGCCAGCACGUUAUGGUGGGGACUCAGUGGAGACCGCCGGGGUCAACUCGGAGGAAGGUGGGGAUGACGUCAAGUCAUCAUGCCCCUUAUGUCCAGGGCUUCACGCAUGCUACAAUGGCUGGUACAGAGAGUGGCGAGCCUGUGAGGGUGAGCGGAUCUCGGAAAGCCGGUCUCAGUUCGGAUUGGGGUCUGCAACUCGACCUCAUGAAGUCGGAGUCGCUAGUAAUCGCAGAUCAGCAACGCUGCGGUGAAUACGUUCCCGGGGCU
rnacentral:rRNA from 1 species